rnacentral:rRNA from 1 species
UACGUAGGGGGCAAGCGUUGUCCGGAAUCAUUGGGCGUAAAGCGCGUGUAGGCGGUUCGGUAAGUCUGCUGUGAAAGUCCAGGGCUCAACCCUGGGAUGCCGGUGGAUACUGUCGGACUAGAGUACGGAAGAGGCGAGUGGAAUUCCCAGUGUAGCGGUGAAAUGCGUAGAUAUUGGGAGGAACACCAGUGGCGAAGGCAGCCCCCUGGGCCAACACUGACGCUCAUGCACGAAAGCGUGGGGAGCAAACAGG